GGGGAUGGUGGAAAGUGAUUGAGUUAUGAGAAGCCUUGGGUAUGAGAGGGUCGGCAUGGUAUGAUGAUGAUGAUGAUGAUGAUGAUGAUGAUUCUUCUUUCAUUUUCUCUAUUUAAUCUUGCCGACUCCUCCCAUACCAAUGGUUUCUCAUUUCUCUUCCCUUUCCUUUUUAUCCCCCU
rnacentral:pre_miRNA from 1 species